CAGAGUUGCAAAACUCCCAAACCCUUUGUGAACUUACCUUACGUUGCUUCGGCAGGCAGCCCCAGGGCGGGGCUAUGGCCUUUUGGUGCCUGCCGGAGGUUUUUUUAAACUCUAUAUUUCAGUGGUACACUUCUGAGUAUAAAACAAAAUAAGUUA
rnacentral:misc_RNA from 1 species